CUUGGCCCCGCCCACUCCUCCAAUCUAACCAAUGAGACGGCUCGUCCCAGCUAGUUCCGUCCUACCGCCCCAAGCAACGAUUGGUUAACAAGGCCUCGUUUCCAGAAAUGGGAACUAUUUCCGGACAGUGUUUAUAGCGAAGAGAUUGCUGGGCCGACUAAUUGACAGAAGGCGGAGGCGGCCUGCGGGUUGGUGCAACCACACAUGCGCGCAGGGCUUCUGGCAGCUUUACGGGUUGCGUUCUUCUUGAGGUUACGGGAAGGAAGGGCGAGUGUGCGCACGCGCGGGCACUCCCCAGCCUCGUACCUGGUUACCUAGGAGACGGCGAGGCGCUCACCCUCCUGGUUUGGGUCGUGCUUCUUUGCUCCAGGCCUUGGCUCAGGCGGCAGGUGGGGGAGAGUAAACGUGUUGACCCAAAGUUGCAACUCCCAAGAAGAAACCUCACGUCGGGUUGCAGGAAAGCAACAAACCUCUACAGGCUGGAGAGGAGAAUGUGUGGGACAAGCAGGGCCUCAUGAUUUCAGCUACUUGCUUGGGCCUUCCCAAGCCCCACUGUGUGGGUUGAGAGUCGGAACCCAGGUACCUGGGGAUCUAAUGAAUCGUGUGUGACCUGCUCACAAACCGCUUCUCCCUGUCACCCCAUCAGUCCCCUGCGAGGCCUGCCUUAUGUCUGAUGUGAUGACUCCUCCCGAUACUGACCAUCAGAGAGGAUCCCUGAGGAUCUGGAUUUUGUCUUUGCUCUGCUCGGGGCCAGGAUCUGGACCAACUCCCUGGCUGUGUGGCUGCAGACCUAUCCCUCCCUCCUUCACGUGCUCCUGUUCCUCUUGCUGUGCUCUUACUGGCGACAUAGUUAGGCACCUACUGGGAGCAGAACUCAGAGAAGAAAGAGACUUAUGAAAGUGAUGGCUGUUUUAAAUUAGAACUGUAGAGUCAUCUUACUUUUUUUUUUUUUUUUUUUUUUUUUUUUUUUUUUUUUUUUGCCAGGCCCGCAGCAUGCAGAAGCUAUGGGGCCAGGGAUCGAACUAGCACUAUAGCAGUGACAACGCCAGAGCCAGAUCCUUAGCCCCCUAGGCCACUGGGGAACUCCCUAAUGUUUAAACUUUUUAUUGGUGAACAAAUUUCCUACCUUCAAAGAUACAUAAUUUCACAAAUAGAAAUACAUGAAAAAGCUAGUAUUCGUGUUAGAUUUCAGUAAAGAAGUCUUAGGCCCAAGGUGAAGAGGAAUUUCCAGUUUAUGAAUAUAUUUAAGUACCCAAGCUGGCUACCGUGUAGUGUAUAGAGAGCUCUUUUGAAAGGCCUUGAAGGAGAGACUGAAUUUCUAGCUGGCAGGAAUGGUUUGGGUUAAGGAUUUCAUUUCUGUGAUGUUUCUAAUUAAAACCUCCCAGCUCCUCUGGCCGAAUCAGGCCACUUUGGUCUCUCGUUAUUUUGGUAUUUCC
rnacentral:lncRNA from 9 species